rnacentral:tRNA from 1 species
GCGGGCCGUAGCGCAGAGGUCGUCGCGCCCGGCUCCACACCGGGAGGACGCCAGUUCGAUUCCGGCCGGCCCGCCCCA